rnacentral:rRNA from 1 species
UAUCUCUGUAGAGUCUGCAUAUCAAUAAGCGGAGGAAAAGAAACUAACUAGGAUUCCCUUAGUAACGGCGAGUGAAGCGGGAAGAGCUCAAAUUUGAAAUCUUCAAGGUUUUACCUUGACGAAUUGUAGUUUAAAGAAGUGUUUUCUGUUGGUGUUUUGGUAAAAGUUCUUUGGAAUAGGACAUCAUAGAGGGUGAGAAUCCCGUAUUUGACCAUUACUUCCAGCGUUGUGAUACACUUUCAAAGAGUCGGAUUGUUUGGGAAUGCAGUCCAAAAUGGGUGGUAAAUUUCAUCUAAAGCUAAAUAUUGGCGAGAGACCGAUAGCGAACAAGUACCGUGAGGGAAAGAUGAAAAGAACUUUGAAAAGAGAGUUAAACAGUACGUGAAAUUGUCAAAAGGGAAGCGUUUGACACCAGUGUUGUUUUCUCGAAAAUCAAUUAAAAAAGGUUGGAUUUUGUAUUGUUAAGACCUUAUCAGCUUACUGUACUCUUUUCUUGCUUUUUUUAAUGCACUUUUCGUUUAACAAGUCAACAUCAAUUUCUUUUGUUGUAAAAGAGUCAUUGGAAGGUGGCUUUCACUUCGGUGAAAGUGUUUAUAGCCUUUGGCCUUCUGCAAUCGGAGAGAUUGAGGUCUGCAGCGUAGAUCCUUCGGGGCUAGAUACAUUAGAUGCUAAGUUAUAGCUUUUUCAUAGACAACUUGUUGACUAUGAAUUAAGUCAUGUAGCUUACUCGCUUAUGCGCUAUUUUACCUACGCUUAGGAUGUUGACGAUCAGCUGAGCGCG